rnacentral:rRNA from 1 species
AGCAGUAGCCGCGGUAAUGCGUAGGUGGCAAGCGUUGUCCGGAAUUAUUGGGCGUAAAGGGCUCGCAGGCGGUUUCUUAAGUCUGAUGUGAAAGCCCCCGGCUCAACCGGGGAGGGUCAUUGGAAACUGGGAAACUUGAGUGCAGAAGAGGAGAGUGGAAUUCCACGUGUAGCGGUGAAAUGCGUAGAGAUGUGGAGGAACACCAGUGGCGAAGGCGACUCUCUGGUCUGUAACUGACGCUGAGGAGCGAAAGCGUGGGGAGCGAACAGGAUUAGAUACCCCCGUAGUCCCUGUCUCUUAUAC